rnacentral:rRNA from 1 species
CAGUCGCCGCGGUAAUACGUAGGUGGCAAGCGUUGUCCGGAAUUAUUGGGCGUAAAGGGCUCGCAGGCGGUUUCUUAAGUCUGAUGUGAAAGCCCCCGGCUCAACCGGGGAGGGUCAUUGGAAACUGGGAAACUUGAGUGCAGAAGAGGAGAGUGGAAUUCCACGUGUAGCGGUGAAAUGCGUAGAGAUGUGGAGGAACACCAGUGGCGAAGGCGACUCUCUGGUCUGUAACUGAUGCUGAGGAGCGAAAGCGUGGGGAGCGAACAGGAUUAGAUACCCCAGUAGUCCCUGUCUCUUAUAA